UUUCUCUGUCAGGUGUUGAAAAUAGGAACAAAAUUAGAAAAAAUAAUAAUUACUUAUAACAUUUUUAAACCAUGUUAUUAAAAAUGAUUUGUAGAUUCAAAAAAGUCUUAAUUUUUCCUUGUUUUGAGAAAAGAAGAGUUUUUUCAGCAGACAGAUGCUUGUUCACAGUGCAGGAGGUUUUUGUACGGCCACUUAAUGACUUUGUAUCACUGUGGUUGACUUUUGGUGGAGGAACCAAACUCGUCGUUGACUUGGGUGUGGUGCGGCCCACUCUGACCGUCCUCCCCCCUUCCAGAGAGGAGGUGGAGAAGGGCAGUGCCACAGUGGUGUGUCUGGCCAGCCGGGGCUUCCCCUCAGCCUGGAGGCUGGGCUGGAAGGUGGGGGGCAGCAGCACCUCCUCAGGGGUGUCACACAGCCUGGAGGUCCUGGGGAGGGACGGUCACUACAGCUGGACCAGCACCCUGAGCCUCAAUGCAGACCAGUGGCGGAAGGCGGGCACAGUGAGCUGUGAGGCCAGUCUGAGUGGACAGAGCCCUGUCACUCAAACCCUGGACCCUGACAGCUGCUCAGAGUAGAGCUUCAGCAACACUUCCUGUCUGGAAAUGAUGCUGCUUCUCUGAUAGAGAUCUUGAUGAAGCCACAGAUCUCCUCUCUCCACAUAUUUCUGCAACUUUCACAACUCUCUGUGUUAUAGUUUGCUUGCUGCUUUCUAACACUGAUCUUUUCAUUCAUCAGAAAUGUGGCACAAACAUUUUAUCAUCAUUUAAUAAAAUUAUAUAUUAAAAUCA